AUUCUGCCCAAGCGGGGAAGGAUGAGAAGCUUCGACCAAGGUUCGACUCGAGCGCCAGCGAGAGAGCGUUGCCGCAGGCAACGACCCGAAGGGUGAAGCGCGCAGCGCUGAGUAAUCCUUCCCCCACCACCA
rnacentral:sRNA from 1 species